CGGGCGUGCCGUGCGGCCGCGACGAGCCCGUUGAAGACGGCCUGGCCGCUGUUCGAAUUGCUGACGCCCGCC
rnacentral:tRNA from 1 species